UACGAAGGGGGCUAGCGUUGUUCGGAAUUAUUGGGCGUAAAGCGCGUGUAGGCGGCUUGGCAAGUCGGGUGUGAAAGCCCUCAGCUCAACUGAGGAAGUGCGCCCGAAACUGCUGAGCUCGAGUACCGGAGAGGGUGGCGGAAUUCCCCAAGUAGAGGUGAAAUUCGUAGAGAUGGGGAGGAACACCGGUGGCGAAGGCGGCCACCUGGACGGUCACUGACGCUGAGACGCGAAAGCGUGGGUAGCAAACAGG
rnacentral:rRNA from 1 species